CAUGCGUCAUGCUCUCUCAGCUUCAGCGUCAUAACUUUGUACUUUGUCUUGGUACCUGAUGGUCAGGUGUAAUCCAGGAUGGACGGGCAACCGUUGCCAUGUGAAGGAGAAACCAUCUCUCGCCACUGCGACACCCAAACCAGAGGACACACGACUGGGUAGUAAAGAAACGCACCUCGCCGCUCUAUCAAUUUGUUUACUGGAUCCUUGCGUACCCUGUUAUCGUCUCUGCAGGUCUCUAUGCAAGAGUUAAAUGUCCCUCCCUGUUGUCUAGACUCUGUUUAUGUUGGCAUCGCCAUCGGACUGCUGCUGCUGGUAGCCGGAGUCGCCGUCUGCACUCUGGCUUUAUUCAAGAAGAAACGCUAUUUAAUGUGAGUUCUGGCUACAAUGAUGACUCCUGGUGAUGAUGAUGAUGUUAGUAAUGAGGGCUUUUUUUUUUCCGCUGGCUCCACAGAAAGCCCGACCCUAUGGACUACGGAGUGAUGGAUAACCGAGGCUUUGACUGGAGAGCAGAGCUCCCGUGCCUACAUGAAAGGCCAGGCGGCUGUCCCACAGUUAACCCCAGCAGGAGUGAUGUCCGGGGGCUUUCCAUCAGUGUCUACCCCUGGAGGAGAGAGGUGGAGGUAAAGUGUGUGUGCUCAACCUUUGGGGCUUACCUUAAUUAUCUGUGCAGAAGUCAGUGACGUGAUGUAUGUCUAAUUGUGUCCACAGCAGGGUUCGACCUGGAAAGAUGCCAAGCUGUCCUUCGCCAACCCCCUGUACAAUUACUCUCCCGAUGCUAAUAGCGCCGACUACAAAAGCUCUGACGCAUAAAAACAAUGGACUUUACAUAUUGACAGGGUCAAACAGUGUGUGCGCAUACUUGAUGAGUUUGUCUUAACCUGCUGAGGUGUCAAGUGGGGGGAACAAUGUAAAGAGUGGGAGAAUGUUUGCAUAUUCUGCAAGGAAGUAUUUGAAUGUCAAUGCUGAUAUACUACUGUUUGAAAAACUGAUUCAUUUAGUUAGUUUAGGACUUAAAUUGUGUCCAUUUUAAUAUCUAUACAUUUAGUUUAAACAGUUAAAGGGGUGAGUAGAGAUGUUGCAACAACUGCAAACAAGGCGUUUUAGAGGGUAAAACUUUUUUGAGAAUUAGCAUAUUUCCCAAAAUGUCCAAGAUAUUUUUAGAAGAAGAAAAAAUAUUAAGCAGUAAACCAGAUGAAAUAGACAUUUGAACAAAGUGUUGGUCAUUUUGUACAGCCAGUGUGGCAGUUUAUCAAGACAUGAGUGCUUCAGAACUUGCUGUAAUGCUUGUGAGUGCAUUAUGCAUGGUGAUUAAAAUUGUAUUUAGUGCCGGCAAAACCAGAAAAACAUCGAGUUCAUUGAACAGAAAGACUCCACUGAACACACAUAGCCUCCAAACGGAGUCCUGAUUGCAAUAGUGAUUCUUUUUAAUCCCCACAAGUGCAAAUAAAAUUGGUUUUUAUUUGCUAAUUAAAAUGCAUUACAAGUCAACUUCCUGCAGCUGCUUUGUAUGCGGUGUGAACUGACUCUCGAACUCUCUGUAGAUGACUCGUAAAAAGCAUCGUUAAACCAGUCUGCUAUGAAUUUGACAAGUGUUCAGUCAUGGCUCUUCUCAGCUGUGUUUCAUCAAAGAUGCAAUCGUUAAUGGCUUUCUCACAUUUGACAGUUAACGUGAUCAUUUGAAGAUGUUCUGUACAGUGCUCCCAUCUGAGUAUCUCCACACACACACACAGCUUGAGAACAUUUGCAAAGGUGCCCCAUAAUCUUCUCACAAGCCAAUCAGAGCGGGCUGUUUUAGGAGGCGGGGCUUAAAGAUACAGGCGAGUGUGAGUACAGGUUUAUUCAGACAGACAGUACGAGAAAAAGAUUGUGUUUUUUAACAUUAAAGGAAAAAAGCUUUCCAGCUCGUCUAAACCUCUAACUUUAUAUUUACCACACAGAUAAAAAAGAGUGGUAUCGGUCUUCUCAUGUAAUUGCUGGCAGAAUAAGUGCAUUUCCCACUCUAACCGUUUCUUUAAACUCACGUUAAGCAAUACAAUUACAUCCAGUGUUGCAUAAAUAAUGUCUUCAAUAUAUCAUCUUCUGUUGUUGCUCCUAAUUAGAUUUGUAAGGACAUUUUGCAAACUUGAUGUGUCAUGGUUGAACUGUUGAGGAAAGAAAAGGUCACACAUUACACUGAUAUCUUCCAAUACAUGAAACUUGAUGAAACCAAUAAAAACUUGUGGUGCUUGUGAUUAGCAUU
rnacentral:lncRNA from 1 species